UACGUAGGGAGCGAGCGUUGUCCGGAUUUAUUGGGCGUAAAGGGCGCGUAGGCGGUUAGGUAAGUCGGGUGUUAAAUCUCCAAGCUCAACUUGGAGCUGCCACUCGAAACUGCUUUGACUUGAGUCUGGUAGGGGAACACGGAAUUCCUGGUGUAGCGGUGAAAUGCUUAGAUAUCAGGAGGAACACCAGUGGCGAAGGCGGUGUUCUGGGCCAGUACUGACGCUGAUGCGCGAAAGCGUGGGGAGCGAACAGG
rnacentral:rRNA from 1 species